GACGGAGUAGCUCAGAGGCAGAGCAGCGGGCUGUUAACCCGCAGGUCGAGAUUUCGAAAUUCUCCUUCGUCG
rnacentral:tRNA from 1 species